rnacentral:rRNA from 1 species
UACGUAGGUGACAAGCGUUGUUCGGAUUUACUGGGCGUAAAGGGCGCGUAGGCGGUCAGCACAAGUCAGUUGUGAAAUCUCCGGGCUUAACUCGGAAAGGUCAACUGAUACUGUGCGACUAGAGUGCAGAAGGGGCAACUGGAAUUCUCGGUGUAGCGGUGAAAUGCGUAGAUAUCGAGAGGAACACCUGCGGCGAAGGCGGGUUGCUGGGCUGACACUGACGCUGAUGCGCGAAAGCCAGGGGAGCGAACGGG